rnacentral:tRNA from 1 species
UCCGGAAUAGCUCAGCGGUAGAGCGGGUGGCUGUUAACCACUAGGUCGGGAGUUCAAAUCUCUCUUCCGGAGCCA